CGAAAAUAAAAAUCGGACGUAAUGGUCGAAGCCCCAAGGGGGGUAGAAAAAGAAGGAAGAGAACUGAUGACGCCCAUUUCUAAUGAAACGAAAGUCGGGGGGCCACAUUAGACUAGUUAGGUGGCUCAGAAACUUAGUGGGGGAUCCGAUCCCCUAGUGUUUUACCACGAUAAUAACGCUGAUCUGGUAGCUGUAACGGAAACAGGGAAAUCAUGUGCCACCACUGUCCAGCUCCUGCUCGCCUAGACUGGUCUGUAGCCUAAUACAGUGUGCGCAUUCAUUGACUGCGUCGGCAUCUUUCUUUCGCACCUUUUUCGUUGCACUCACUGUCUUUGAAAUCGGGUAAAAAUGCUCUACUUCUGGACGACGUGACAGCCUUGAAUUCCGAAACUGUUCCACAAGAGGUUCAGAAGGGUCCUGCUGGUGACAUUUGAAGAUGAAGUGCCAGAGUUGCGGCCACGUCUUGGUGGAGCUCAAGCCCAAGUUCUGCAGUGAGUGCGGCAGCAGGUUGGCGCCUCCACAAGAGCCCACCUCCGCAGGAGAGUCUCCCCAAACAGCUCAGGUUCAGUUGGGAUGUGAGACAAAGCAGGAAAUGAAGAGUGAGCCAAACUCUCUUGAAGGCCAAGCUGACGGAGUAUCUCCGAAAAGACCCUCUGAAGA